AGUGAACGCUGGCGGUAGGCCUAACACAUGCAAGUCGAACGGCCGCACAGUAAGAGUUUGCUUUUACGGGUGGCGAGUGGCGGACGGGUGAGGCAUACAUCGGAUUCUACUUUUUCGUGGGGGAUAUCGUAGGGAAACUUACGCUAAUACCGCAUACGUUCUACGGGUUAAAGCAGGGGAUAUUCGGACCUUGCGCGAUUGAAUGAGCCGAUGUCGGAUUAGCUAGUUGGCGGGGUAAAGGCCCACCAAGGCGACGAUCCGUAGCUGGUCUGAGAGGAUGAUCAGCCACACUGGAACUGAGACACGGUCCAGACUCCUACGGGAGGCAGCAGUAGGGAAUAUUGGACAAUGGGCGCAAGCCUGACCCAGCCAUACCGCGUGAGUGAAGAAGGCCUUCGGGUUGUAAAGCCCUUUUGUUAGGAAAGAAAAACAGCAGAUUAAUACACCGCUGUUCUGACGGUACCCAAAGAAUAAGCACCGGCUAACUUCGUG
rnacentral:rRNA from 1 species